UACGUAGGGGGCAAGCGUUGUCCGGAUUUAUUGGGCGUAAAGAGCGUGUAGGCGGCCAGAUAGGUCAGCUGUGAAAACUCGAGGCUCAACCUCGAGAUGUCGGCUGAAACCAUCUGGCUAGAGUCCGGAAGAGGAGAAUGGAAUUCCCGGUGUAGCGGUGAAAUGCGUAGAUAUCGGGAGGAACAUCAGUGGCGAAGGCGGCCUUCUGGUCCAGUACUGACACUCAAGUGCGAAAGCGUGGGGAGCAAACAGG
rnacentral:rRNA from 1 species